rnacentral:rRNA from 1 species
GAUGAACGCUAGCGGCAGGCUUAACACAUGCAAGUCGAGCGAGAAGUUGUUUUCUGACCUCGGACACCGGCGGACGGGUGAGUAACAUGUAUGCAACUUUCCUCUAUCACUGGGAUAACCCGGGUAAACCCGGACUAAUCCCUCUUCCCAAAUGUAUCUUCAUGGAUUUAUUUUAAAAGUUUUAUCGGAUAUUGAUAGGCGUGCGUUGGAUUAGUUAGUUGGUGAGGUAACGGCUCACCAAGACUGUGAUCCUUAGCUGGCCUGAGAGGGUGACCCCCGCGACGGGUAAUGAGACACAGACUAGACUCCUACGGGAGGGAGCAGUGAGGAAGACUAGACAGGGGGGGAGAGCCUGAUCCAGCCGUGCCGCGUGCAAGAAGACGGCGCUAGGGGAUGUAUACUGCUUUUAGAGAGGAAUAAACCUAUUAACGUGUGAGUAGUUGAAGGUACCGGAAGAAUAAGCAUCGGCUAACUACGUG